AUAUCUCCUAGUCAAAUCUUCGAGCUCGGUUUCUUCAAUCCCGCAUCAAGUUCGCGUUGGUAUCUCGGCAUAUGGUACAAGAUAAUCCCUAUAAGAACCUACGUAUGGGUUGCAAACAGAGACAAUCCUCUCUCUAGCUCCAACGGAACUCUCAAAAUAUCCGGCAAUAACCUCGUCAUUUUCGAUCAGUCCGAUAGGCCUGUUUGGUCGACGAAUAUAACCGGAGGAGAUGUGAGAUCACCAGUGGCUGCAGAGCUUCUUGAUAACGGUAAUUUCUUGCUCAGAGACUCCAAUAACAGACUUCUAUGGCAGAGUUUCGAUUUUCCGACAGAUACUUUACUUGCGGAGAUGAAAUUGGGAUGGGAUCAGAAAACCGGAUUCAACAGGAUCUUGAGAUCCUGGAAAACAACAGAUGAUCCAUCAAGCGGUGAGUUUUCGACAAAACUCGAAACCAGCGAGUUCCCUGAGUUUUACAUAUGCAGCAAGGAGUCGAUACUAUACCGCAGCGGUCCAUGGAAUGGAAUGCGUUUUAGCAGCGUACCAGGGACAAUUCAAGUUGAUUACAUGGUUUACAAUUUCACAGCAAGUAAGGAGGAAGUGACUUACUCAUACCGAAUCAACAAAACAAACUUAUACUCGAGAUUAUACUUAAACUCUGCGGGUUUAUUACAACGAUUGACUUGGUUUGAGACAACACAGAGUUGGAAGCAACUAUGGUACUCACCGAAGGACCUAUGCGAUAACUACAAAGUGUGCGGGAAUUUCGGUUAUUGCGACUCGAACAGUUUACCAAAUUGUUAUUGUAUCAAAGGGUUUAAGCCAGUGAAUGAGCAAGCGUGGGACUUGAGAGAUGGCUCCGCUGGUUGCAUGAGGAAGACGAGGCUGAGCUGUGACGGUAGAGAUGGUUUUACCCGGUUGAAGAGGAUGAAAUUGCCAGAUACCACGGCGACAAUUGUGGACAGAGAAAUUGGGUUGAAAGUAUGUAAAGAAAGGUGUCUAGAAGAUUGUAAUUGCACUGCGUUCGCUAAUGCGGAUAUUCGCAAUGGCGGGUCUGGUUGUGUGAUUUGGACCAGAGAGAUUUUGGAUAUGCGAAAUUAUGCUAAGGGAGGUCAGGAUCUUUACGUUAGACUAGCCGCUGCUGAACUCGGUUAGUUUCUUUCUUAUUUGCAUUUACUAAAGUGGUUCUUACUUUUUGUUUUGAUUAAAAAGUUAUGACCCAAAGUCAAUAUAUCUUCCCAAUCUGCGGACCAAGUCAUGUAAUAUUGUCCCUCUCGAAGCAAAGUUCAAACUCCCUAAUCUAUAGAGGCUUUGGUCAACAAAGUACAUUCUUGAUGUUUGGUCAAUUUGUUUAGUUUUUUUUUUUUGUCAUCUGUUUUUAAUUAGAGAUCAAAAGAUUAAUAAGAGUUUAGCUAGAUCCAAUACCAUUAUACCAAAAAGAAUUUUUGUUUAAGUUAAAUUAAUUAUUUUGUUUAUUUUUCGUAUUAAUUUUUUUUAAUCAAACGUACAACAAAGGAUAUUUUUCGUAUAGAAGUAAAUAUAUGCCUCGUUUUUAUUGCAGAGGACAAGAGAAUCAAAAAUGAAAAAAUUAUAGGUUCGAGUAUUGGAGUGAGCAUUUUGCUUCUUUUAAGUUUUGUCAUCUUCCAUUUUUGGAAAAGGAAGCAGAAGCGAUCAAUAACAAUUCAAACACCUAAUGGUAAAAUAAAUCAUUAGCUUUCAUUUCCUUUAUUUUUGUCAAUAAAUUUUGAUAAUCAAAUGUCUUGAUUGUUUUUUUUUUUUUUAACGCCUGAAUGAAACAGUUGAUCAAGUGAGAAGCCAAGACUCGCUAAUCAACGAUGUGGUAGUAUCUAGGAGGGGUUACACAUCCAAAGAAAAAAAAAGUGAGUACCUAGAGCUUCCAUUGUUGGAGUUGGAAGCUCUUGCCACGGCAACAAACAAUUUUUCUAACGACAACAAGCUUGGACAAGGUGGAUUCGGAAUUGUUUACAAGGUAAAAGUGAUUCAAAACAUAUUGAAAAUCUACCACAGCACAUGGUUUCAUUGUAUAAUCACAUGUGUGGUAAUAGGGAAGAUUACUUGACGGAAAAGAAAUUGCGGUAAAGAGACUAUCGAAAAUGUCCUCACAAGGGACCGAUGAGUUCAUGAACGAGGUUAGAUUAAUUGCAAAGCUUCAGCACAUAAACCUUGUCCGGCUUCUAGGUUGUUGCGUCGAUAAGGGUGAGAAGAUGUUGAUCUAUGAGUACUUGGAGAAUUUAAGCCUUGACUCGCAUCUCUUUGGUUAGUGACUCAAACAGCUUCUGUUCUAAUAAUUGAACAUUUUUGUGAAAACGUUAACUUGUUGUUGGUUGUGUUGGAUGUGUAGACCAAACACGAAGCUCUAACUUAAAUUGGCAAAAGAGAUUUGAUAUUAUCAAUGGUAUUGCUAGAGGACUUCUAUAUCUUCACCAAGAUUCACGGUGUAGGAUUAUCCAUAGAGACUUGAAAGCAAGUAACGUAUUGCUUGAUAAAAAUAUGACUCCAAAGAUCUCGGAUUUCGGUAUGGCGAGGAUCUUUGGACGGGAGGAGACAGAGGCUAAUACAAGGAGGGUGGUCGGAACUUAGUAAGCAAUCAUUCUUCAACAAAACAAAAAAAGAGCUUUUAUCUCAAGUCCAAAUAUUUUCUUAAAAACCUCAUAACAUAUGAGUUUAUAUUUUGUUAUGCAGCGGCUACAUGUCUCCAGAAUAUGCAAUGGACGGGAUAUUCUCGAUGAAGUCGGAUGUUUUCAGCUUUGGGGUCUUGCUUCUAGAGAUUAUAAGUGGAAAAAGAAACAAAGGAUUCUACAACUCAAACCGUGAUCUUAAUCUCCUCGGUUUUGUAAGCUAAAAACCUCUUCAAUUCGAUAUUGUUUUGCAUUCAUAAUCUGAUUAUAACACUAAAGAAAUAUUACAUCCUUUAUGCACAGGUGUGGAGGCAUUGGAAGGAAGGAAACGAGCUAGAGAUUGUAGAUCCGAUCAACAUCGAUUCUUUGUCAUCAAAGUUCCCGACACAUGAAAUCUUAAGAUGUAUACAAAUUGGUCUCUUGUGUGUUCAAGAACGAGCCGAAGACAGACCAGUGAUGUCCUCGGUAAUGGUGAUGCUUGGAAGCGAAACUACCGCUAUUCCUCAGCCUAAACGUCCUGGAUUUUGCAUUGGUAGAAGUCCUCUUGAGGCUGAUUCUUCUUCAAGUACACAGCGCGACGAUGAAUGUACAGUGAACCAAAUCACUCUCUCGGUCAUUGACGCUCGGUAAUUUGUAACUUACGGCCCAAUCUGUUUACAUGCAUAUCAUUUUAUAGGUAAGUCUAAAUAGAUUUUAUUACUACAUAUAUGAUUCGAUAUCUUGCUCUAUCUAAUUUAAUUUAGACAAAAGAUUCACCACAUGUUUCACAUGAUUUUGAUUUAGAGCGAGAAUUAUAAAAAAAAAACAUUUAGACAAAGACAAAAAAAUGCAAGAUUUGGAGUUGUCACUCCAAGAUUUGAAGUUUGAGACCGAAACUCAAUUAAGUGGGAAUUCAGUAAUGAUUAAUAUUCACUUUUUGUACAUACUACUGAUAAUAGACCAAUACUGGAAGCGAACAUAGGACUUUAUGGCUAUUACAACAGAGGACUUUAUGAAACAAAUCGAAUAUAUACCUUAAACUUUUAUGAAUUCAUCGGUGAAGCAUUCUCUUGCAUAUAACAUUUAGUAUGUCGCCAGCAACAUUGAAAUUUUGUCUAUUCUCGUACACACACACACAAAUGGUUGAGGAUAUUAUUUUUUUGGAGUAAACGAAGAAAAGUCAGUUACUAGGAAAUUACAAAACCAUAAUUAUCAAUUUAACGACUUUUAAGGUCAUUGACUCAAUUCUAUAGUGACAUAGUCUAUAGAUAUUUCAAAAGCGAACAAGAAGACCAAGAAAAUGUAGCUGAAAAUGAAAUAUUAUCAACAAUAGAGAGAAAUCGUGUAAAUGACGUUCACACAUUUCAACACCAAACAUGUCGUAAUCUCCGAAGAUAAAAAUUCUCAAUUAUAUGUACAUAAAAUUUUCAUAAGAAGAAAAUAAAACAGAACACAAGAAAGUGUCCUAGCUAGAGAGAGAGAGAGAGAUGAGAAAUGUACCAAACUAUCAUCAUUCUUACUUCAUAUUAUUCAUCAUAAUUCUGUUUCUUGCUUUCUCUGUUUAUGCAAGCAACUUUUCAGCCACAGAAUCUCUCACUAUCUCAAGCAACAAAACCAUUAUAUCUCCUAGUCAAAUCUUCGAGCUCGGUUUCUUCAAUCCCGACUCAAGUUCACGUUGGUAUCUCGGCAUAUGGUACAAGAUAAUCCCUAUAAGAACCUACGUAUGGGUUGCAAACAGAGACAAUCCUCUCUCUAGUUCCAACGGAACUCUCAAAAUAUCCGACAAUAACCUCGUCAUUUUCGAUCAGUCCGAUAGGCCUGUUUGGUCGACGAAUAUAACCGGAGGAGAUGUGAGAUCACCAGUGGCUGCAGAGCUUCUUGAUUACGGU
rnacentral:lncRNA from 1 species